GGCCCCUUCGUCUAGCGGUUAGGACGACGCCCUCUCACGGCGUAAGCACGAGUUCGAUUCUCGUAGGGGUCA
rfam:Sphingomonas sp. Leaf17 contig_5, whole genome shotgun sequence.